AUUGAACGCUGGCGGAAUGCUUUACACAUGCAAGUCGAACGGCAGCACGGACUUCGGUCUGGUGGCGAGUGGCGAACGGGUGAGUAACAUAUCGGAACGUAUCCAAUAAUGGGGGAUAACUAAUCGAAAGGUUGGCUAAUACCGCAUACGCCCUACGGGGGAAAGCAGGGGAUCUUCGGACCUUGCGUUAAUGGAGCGGCUGAUAUCUGAUUAGCUAGUUGGUGAGGUAAAGGCUCACCAAGGCGACGAUCAGUAGCUGGUCUGAGAGGACGACCAGCCACACUGGAACUGAGACACGGUCCAGACUCCUACGGGAGGCAGCAGUGGGGAAUUUUGGACAAUGGGCGCAAGCCUGAUCCAGCCAUUCCGCGUGAGUGAAGAAGGCCUUCGGGUUGUAAAGCCCUUUCGCAAGGGAAGAAAACUUACUUUCUAAUAAAGAGUGAGGUUGACGGUACCUUGAUAAGAAGCACCGGCUAACUACGUGCCAGCCGCCGCAGUAA
rnacentral:rRNA from 1 species